rnacentral:rRNA from 1 species
UGAGGAAUAUUGGUCAAUGGGCGGAAGCCUGAACCAGCCAAGUCGCGUGAGGGAAGACGGUCCUAUGGAUUGUAAACCUCUUUUGCAGGGGAGCAAGGCCUGUUACGAGUAACAGGUUGGAGAGUACCCUGAGAAAAAGCAUCGGCUAACUCCGUGCCAGCAGCCGCGGAUAAUAGCGGGAGGAUGCGAGCUGUUCGAUUCCUGGGUAAGUUUAUUGGGUUUAAAGGGGUGCGGUAGGGCGGGCAUGGUAAGUCAGCAAGGUAAAAUGCGGUGCUCAACGCCGUAGUGCCGUUGAAACUGCCGGUCUUGAGUGAGCGAGAAGUAUGCGGAAUGCGUGGUGUAGCGGUGAAAUGCAUAGAUAUCACGCAGAACUCCGAUUGCGAAGGCAGCAUACCGGCGCUCAACUGGACGCUGAGGCACGAAAGCGUGGGGAUCGAACAGGAUUAGAUACC